rnacentral:misc_RNA from 1 species
UUGAGUCUUGGUGGAGAUAUAAGAUUCCGCGUGCAAUUCCAACUAUAAUUUCGAAGCGUUUACUCCAAUUCAAUAAUAAACUUCUAGUUGGAUCAAAUAGAAACAAGUCCAAACUUCCAUUUGGCAAGUAUUCAUAAAUCAAAAUUCGCUCUUCUCCCUGAAUGCAACAUCCUAGAAGUUUCACAAGAUUCCUAUGUUGAAGCUUGGCAAUCAACAUAGCUUCAUUUUUAAAUUCUUCUAUGCCCUGCCCUGAAUUUUUUGAUAGCCUUUUUACAGCAACCUUCUUUCCAUUAGUUAGCUGACCCUUAUAAACAGAUCCAAAACCACCUUGUCCAAUUUUGUUAGCUUGAGAAAAAUUAUCAGUGGCAGCAAAUAUGGUGCUAAGAUUGAAAAAUGCUAAGUCUGGAUGACUCCUGCUUGCCUGGAGCUCAUUUGCUUCCAAAGUAUCUUUGUCAUAGUGUGAACCACUGAUAGAAUCAAACAGUCCUUACCUCUUUUCUUUCUCUUCCUCAGCCACAAAUAGGCAAAUAUGAUAAUGGCAAACCACGCUGAUGAAACUGAAACUACCAGAAAGGCAAGC